rnacentral:antisense_RNA from 1 species
GAAUGAAUCUCGCUGUGUUGUCCAGGCUGGAGUGCAGUGGCACCAUCUCGGCUCACUGCAACCUCUAGCUCCCAGGUUCAAGCGAUUCUCCUGACUCAGCCCCCUGAGUAGCUGGGAUUACAGGCACGCGCCACCACUCCCAGUUCACACCCCGCCACUCCUGAGCACCGCACACCGGCUUCCUCCCAGUCCCUCAUCUGAGAACUCAUGAAGCCACUUGGAAUCCCUCUCUGCUUUGCCUGGCUCAUUCCAUGUCAAUUUCAGAUCUUCGCUUCAGGUCAGCUCCAAGGAGGCUAUCCUUGCCCAUCUUCCUAAAAUAGAGCUCUCAAAACCUGGCUGUUUUCCUUCAGAGCACUGGCCUCCAAUUUAAAUCCCAACUAAGGUACCUGCCGUCGGCAGAUUUGAGCUUUCUUCUUGGACACGUAUUACCCACAGUCCUCCAGACUCUGGUAGAUUGCAUAUAACCUGCUUUCUUUCUGUUCCCGGGCGGCAUCAGACCCGUCGGAGAGUAAAUCCCAAGUAAGGUACCUGCCGUCGGCAGAUUGGAGCUUUCUUCUUGGACACCUAAUACCCACAGUCCUCCAG